rnacentral:rRNA from 1 species
GACGAACGCUGGCGGCGUGCCUAAUACAUGCAAGUAGAACGCUGAAGAGAGGAGCUUGCUCUUCUUGGAUGAGUUGCGAACGGGUGAGUAACGCGUAGGUAACCUGCCUUGUAGCGGGGGAUAACUAUUGGAAACGAUAGCUAAUACCGCAUAACAAUGGAUGACACAUGUCAUUUAUUUGAAAGGGGCAAUUGCUCCACUACAAGAUGGACCUGCGUUGUAUUAGCUAGUAGGUGAGGUAACGGCUCACCUAGGCGACGAUACAUAGCCGACCUGAGAGGGUGAUCGGCCACACUGGGACUGAGACACGGCCCAGACUCCUACGGGAGGCAGCAGUAGGGAAUCUUCGGCAAUGGGGGCAACCCUGACCGAGCAACGCCGCGUGAGUGAAGAAGGUUUUCGGAUCGUAAAGCUCUGUUGUAAGUCAAGAACGAGCGUGAGAGUGGAAAGUUCACACUGUGACGGUAGCUUACCAGAAAGGGACGGCUAACUACGUGCCAGCAGCCGCGGUAAUACGUAGGUCCCGAGCGUUGUCCGGAUUUAUUGGGCGUAAAGCGAGCGCAGGCGGUUUGAUAAGUCUGAAGUUAAAGGCUGUGGCUCAACCAUAGUUCGCUUUGGAAACUGUCAAACUUGAGUGCAGAAGGGGAGAGUGGAAUUCCAUGUGUAGCGGUGAAAUGCGUAGAUAUAUGGAGGAACACCGGUGGCGAAAGCGGCUCUCUGGUCUGUAACUGACGCUGAGGCUCGAAAGCGUGGGGAGCGAACAGGAUUAGAUACCCUGGUAGUCCACGCCGUAAACGAUGAGUGCUAGGUGUUGGAUCCUUUCCGGGAUUCAGUGCCGCAGCUAACGCAUUAAGCACUCCGCCUGGGGAGUACGACCGCAAGGUUGAAACUCAAAGGAAUUGACGGGGGCCCGCACAAGCGGUGGAGCAUGUGGUUUGAUUCGAAGCAACGCGAAGAACCUUACCAGGUCUUGACAUCCCGAUGCUAUUUCUAGAGAUAGAAAGUUACUUCGGUACAUCGGUGACAGGUGGUGCAUGGUUGUCGUCAGCUCGUGUCGUGAGAUGUUGGGUUAAGUCCCGCAACGAGCACAACCCCUAUUGUUAGUUGCCAUCAUUCAGUUGGGCACUCUAGCGAGACUGCCGGUAAUAAACCGGAGGAAGGUGGGGAUGACGUCAAAUCAUCAUGCCCCUUAUGACCUGGGCUACACACGUGCUACAAUGGUUGGUACAACGAGUUGCGAGUCGGUGACGGCAAGCUAAUCUCUUAAAGCCAAUCUCAGUUCGGAUUGUAGGCUGCAACUCGCCUACAUGAAGUCGGAAUCGCUAGUAAUCGCGGAUCAGCACGCCGCGGUGAAUACGUUCCCGGGCCU